UACUAAAGUUAAAAUCAUUAAAUGAAUUUAAAAAAACAAAACAAGAAACUAAAAAAAGAUCACAACUUCACAAAAAUCACAAGGCGACAUAACCUUAUUAAAGUAAAUCUCCAAUUACUAUUAGAUACGGAUUAAAACAGAAGAAAAAAUAACAACCGUACUUUAAAAUCUAGGAAAAGCCACCAUAGGACAACCGAUACACGACCAAAAACAAACAACACCAGCCGUUGAUGAAAUGUCCAGAGUACAUUAUUGACUGCAAGAUUUCCAGUUUCUCCACGAUA